rnacentral:lncRNA from 9 species
UUUGUCUCCACUGAAAGAACCUUGUUUAUGAACAGUUCACCAUAGAUGCAUUUGGUGAUGUUACAUUUAAAAAUCUUUUUUGACAUUGUCUCCUAAAAGAUUUGUUUUGUAAUCUUUUUUUUUUAAAUGUUUAGAUAAACCACUGAUGCUGGAAAACUAUACUGAAGAAACAUGGCAAAAAUUAAAGGAAGCUGUACAAGCUAUCCAGAACAAUAUCUCUGUUAAGUACAGCUUGGAAGAACUCUAUCAGAGGGAUUUCAGGAUUUCUUUCAGCAGAGCUUCAGUGUGGCAGCAUGAUAACUUAUGCUGCCUCUACAGCAACCAAUGCUCCACCUACUCUUUUGAUGUCCACUCAGUCAGCACACUCUCCAUGUACUCUACACACAUUUUGGCAGUAAGUCAUGCAGUAGGAUCAUAAAUAACACCUGCCUUCAGGAUUUCAGAGACCCUGGUCUUUCAGUCCCCUAGGGACCUGCAGAAGGCGCAGAAGGAUGCUUUGCCAUGAAAUUAUGAUGAAGAGGAUUAUAAUUAUUCGGUGAGACCACUACAUAUCAAGAAUAUGUAGUGGAAUAUUCCAUUUCCAACGCUUUUGGACAAGGUGUUUUCAUGGAAUGCAACAGCCAAAUCUUCAUUAUUGUGGUGAGGAUUUUGUGAAAGAUGGUGAUGAUGUACUUCAGGAAUUUUCUGUUGCUUCAAGAAACUUCACUACCUCUCCUGGUCUCUCAUCUCCAAUUUUGAUGGACUAGUGUUAAGAACGGAAGAGAAGCCAGUAUUUGCUUCAAAAUGGUGAGAAAAAAAAAGUGGGUAAAUCCUUAAAUUUUGAGAAGAGUUAUUGCCCUGGAUGAUUUUGGAUCUUAGGCUGGACCAUGCACAAUAAUAGGAGAAGAGAACACUCCUGGGAAAUGAGUGUAAACAAUAUAGAGUGGUCAAAAGAGAACAAGGGAUAUCAAAGAAUUUGUCCAUGGUUCUGCAGUAAUGACAAAUACCCAACAAGCUCAUUACAACUACAUGUGUUAUGUGGAAGAGGGCCAGGGGAGCCUUAAACAAAUAUGUGUACCAAAGUAUUCCACAAAAAAAGACCUUCACCAUUUUCCUUCAGCACAGACAGAUCCUAUGAAUGUAAUUCAAAAUUAUUUGAUUCUAUGCGUGAUGUAGUUUUUUGUAUCUCGAACUUUAAAUUCUGGGAGGAGCAGAAAUUCCAGGCUCAAUUUAAACCUCUUAAGAUUUCAGCUAGUUUCAGCAGACACACAUCAGCUACCUUCUUAAAAUUUGCUUCAGCAUUUUGUGAGAUUGUGGAGCAAUUUACAUCAGCUUGAGAUAUUUGGACAAUAGAUAGGAGUUGCAAACCUUGAUAGUGGAUUUCUUUGGUGUCCAAAGUGUGUUUGGAAAAUGCUUCAGCCAAAUAAUUAUAUCACAAGAGCUUUGUGAAUGAACUUGAUAUAAGAGCGCUUGGCCUGCAUUUUCAUGACACAUUUCAUCCUCUAUUUUUGCAGAGAGAUUUUAGGAUUCCCCUCGGCAGAGUUUCAGUGGAAGAGCAUGAUAUUUAAAGUUGCCUCCUCAUUGACCAAGACUCCCUCUCCUCUUUUGAUGUCCACUCAUGAACUUACCAAUCUUUCCAUGCCCUUGACACAUAUUUUGGGCAUUACAUCACCAGGAACCAUAGCAUUUUGUUCUGAUUUUGAAUAUUUAUUCCAUUGGGAAUGACACUUUUUCAUAUAUCCUCAUAUAGCUUGGUCUUUUCUAAUGAUUUUUCAUGUAUUUACAUCAAAUGGAAAGCUACAAAUGUGUUUUUGCUAUCUUUGAAUUUUUUAUUCUUUUUUUCUUUUUGGUGGGUGCUCUUUGUAAGCAGUAUUAUAUAAGUUGUUUCACUGAAAGGAAAUUGACAGAUAUUUCAGGAGAAAGUAAUGUGCCCAGGUCUGUGUAUUACAAUAUAUUUUUACAGAUGUGCAUGUGGCUGUCCUCAUAUAUACAUUCCUAAACACUAAACUUUUACAGAGAGGAGGCAUGAUGGCAGAAGAGUAGGGGGAAGUGCUUGCCUUCUCCCACAAACACAACAAAAACACACAUCUACACAUAAAACAAUUUCGCAGAAUAACACCUGAGUGCUGGCAGAAGAAUUUAAACCACCAAAAAUGCAAGAAUCUCUUGACAUAACUGGGUAAAGUAAGAGAAAAGAGGAGAGAUAGAGAAGAGGAAUCAGAACUGGACUGGCACUCCUGAGAGGUAAUUGUGAAAGAGAAAGGGAACCUACACACUGGAAAGUCACCUGAUGGAAAGAUCAACCAAGUCAGAGGGCUCUCCAGACUCCGAGAAAAGUGGAGCAGCAGGUCUGAGAUCUAAAUCACAAUCAGAGAGCAGUCACUUAAAUAAGCCAGAAUACAGACCUAAUCAUGAAGAU